AUACGGAGGGUGCAAGCGUUGUCCGGAAUCAUUGGGUUUAAAGGGUCCGUAGGCGGGCGAUUAAGUCAGAGGUGAAAUCCCACAGCUCAACUGUGGAACUGCCUUUGAUACUGGUUGUCUUGAAUUUUAGUGAAGUAGAUAGAAUAUGUAGUGUAGCGGUGAAAUGCAUAGAUAUUACAUAGAAUACCGAUUGCGAAGGCAGUCUACUAACAAACAAUUGACGCUAAUGGACGAAAGCGUGGGGAGCGAACAGGAUUAGAAACCCCAGUAGUCC
rnacentral:rRNA from 1 species